UGGGGAAUAUUGCACAAUGGGCGCAAGCCUGAUGCAGCCAUGCCGCGUGUAUGAAGAAGGCCUUCGGGUUGUAAAGUACUUUCAGCGGGGAGGAAGGGAGUAAAGUUAAUACCUUUGCUCAUUGACGUUACCAGCAGAAGAAGCACCGGCUAACUCCGUGCCAGCAGCCGCGGUAAUACGGAGGGUGCAAGCGUUAAUCGGAAUUACUGGGCGUAAAGCGCACGCAGGCGGUUUGUUAAGUCAGAUGUGAAAUCCCCGGGCUCAACCUGGGAACUGCAUCUGGUACUGGCAAGCUUGAGUCUCGUAGAGGGGGGUAGAAUUCCAGGUGUAGCGGUGAAAUGCGUAGAGAUCUGGAGGAAUACCGGUGGCGAAGGCGGCCCCCUGGACGAAGACUGACGCUCAGGUGCGAAAGCGUGGGGAGCAAACAGG
rnacentral:rRNA from 1 species